rnacentral:rRNA from 1 species
CACGUAGGGGGCUAGCGUUGUCCGGAAUCAUUGGGCGUAAAGAGCGUGUAGGCGGUCCGGUAAGUCCGCUGUGAAAGUCGGGGGCUCAACCCUCGAAUGCCGGUGGAAACUGUCUGGCUAGAGUCCGGAAGAGGAGAAUGGAAUUCCUGGUGUAGCGGUGAAAUGCGCAGAUAUCAGGAAGAACACCCGUGGCGAAGGCGGUUCUCUGGGACGGUACUGACGCUGAGACGCGAAAGCGUGGGGAGCGAACAGG